UCAACUCUUUCCAUAUGAGUGACA
rnacentral:snRNA from 1 species